rnacentral:lncRNA from 1 species
GGCCUGCGGCCGGGAUCCUCCGCCCGGGUCGCGCAGCGGAGGCCGAGGGCUGGGACGGGCGGCUGGGAAGUGGGAAAGGGAGCUCCUUUUGUCUUCUCUUCCCAUCCCCCAGGUUUGGGAAAGUUUUCCUUUUGGGAAAGCCCCUCUCUUCAGCCUGCUGGCGGGUGUCGGAUUGGUUAGCGACCACCGGCCCCCGCCUCCCCCAACAGGAUUCUCCUUUGGGCCACAGGUCUUCCGGAAGUUGCCAAACCCCGGUAGCGGCAGCGUCCGGCUGGGGGCUUUAUUAGGGGGCACCGGGGUCUGCUUUCCGACUCCCUUCCGACUCCGCGCCUGCGCAGGAAGCGAUUUGGGGAGUGUUGUGAAUUCCGAGGGCUCCACACUUAAGAGGUUGUACACUCACCUGUCUACCUGGACUCCAAUUUCCAUAUUUCCAGCCACUUGAGGACUGAGAGGUGGAUGAUAAACCCUGUCAUAGUGGAGCAAGUUCAGGUGUUUAACCGCUGUUAUGGGGGAUCUGCCUUUUCUCCCUCUUCUUUCUUACUUCCAUAAGUAUGUAUGUGCAGAGAUUGAAAAAUAACCUUGAGAGAGUCCAUCCAUCUAACUCCAGAUCUUGACAUCUAUGGUUCUUCAUUGUUCAGGACACAGCUGAAGUAUUACCUUUCCCAAGAGAUCUUACAUGACAAUAACCACCCCUGUCCUAUGUUUUGGUAUCAAGAUGAAGCUGACCUCAUAGAAUGAGUUGAAGAGUAGUCCCUCCUCCUCACUUUCUUGGAACAGUUUCUGUAGGAAUGGAACCAGCUCUUCUUUGUACAUCUGGUAGAAUUUGGCUGUGACUCCAUCAGGUCCUGGGCUUUUUUUUUGGUUGGUAGGCUAUUUAUUACUGAUUCAAUUUUGGAGCCCAUCAUUGGUCUGUUAAGGGAAUCAAUUUCUUCCUGGCUCAGUCUUGGGAGGGUGUGUGUGUCCAGGAAUUUAUCAGUCUCUUCUAGAUUUUCUAGUUUGUGUGCAUAGAGGUGUUUUUAGUAGUUUCUGAUGGUUGUCUUUAUAUCUGUUGGGUCAGUGGUACCAUUCCUUUCAUCAUUUUUAAUUGUGUUUAUUUGGAUCUUCUCUUUUGUCUUAUUAGCCUAGCUAGUGGCAUAUCUAUUUUAUUAAUUUUUUCAAAAAACCAAUUCCUGGAUUUGUUGAGAUCUCUACAAUAAGCAUUACAAAACACUGCUGAAAGAAAUCAGAGAAGACACAAACAAAUGAAAAAAACAUCUCUUGCUCAUGGAUAGGAAGAAACAAUAUUAUUAAAAUGGCUAUACUGCCCAAAGUAAUUUACAGAUUCAUUGUUAUUCCUAUCAAACUGCCAACAAUAUUCUUCAAAGAACUAGAAAAAACUAUUUUAAAAUUCAUAUGGAUCUAAAAAAGAGCCUUAAUAGCCAAGGCAAUCCUAAACAAAAAGAAAAAGCUGGAGGCAUCACACUACUUGACUUUAUGCUGCAAGGCUACAGUAGCAAAAACACCAUGUUUCUGGUACAAAAACAGGUGCAUAGACCAAUGGAACGGAAUAAAGAGCCCUGAAAUAAUGCCGCACAUCUCCAACUAUCUAGUCUUUGACAAAGCUGACAAAAACAAGCAAUGGGGGAAAUGACUCUUUAUUCAAUAAAUAGUGCUGGGAUAACUGGCUAGUCAUAUGCAGAAGAUUGAAGUUGGACACUUUCCUUACACCAUACACAAAAAUCAACUCAAGACAGAUUAAAGACUUAAAUAUAAAUCCGAAAACUAUAAAAACCUUGCAAAACAACCUAGUCAAUACCAUCCUGGAUGUAGGAAUGGGCAAAUAUUUCAUGACAAAGACACCAAAAGCAAUCGCAACGAAAGCAAAAAUUGACAAGUGGAAUCUAAUUAAACUUAAGAACUGCACAGCAAAAGACACUAUCAACAGAGUAAAUAGACAACAUACAGAAUGGGAGAAAGUAUUCGCAAACUAUGCAUCUGACAGACAAAGGUCUAAUAUCUAGCAUCUAUAAGGAUCUUAAGCAAAUUUACAAGAGAAAAGCAAACAACCCUAUUAAGAAGUGGGCAAAGGACAUGAACAGACACUUCUCAAAACAAGACAUAUAUGUGGUCAACAAGCAUUUGAAAAAGAGCUCAAUAUCACUCAUCAUAAGAGAAAUGCAAAUCAAAACCACAAUGAGAUACCAUCUCAUACCAGUCUGAAUGGCCAUUAUUAAAAAGUCAAAAAACAACAGAUGCUGGUGAGGUUGUGGAGAAAAGGGAACACUUAUACACUGUUAGUAGGAGUAGACAUUUGUCCAACUAUUGUGAAAAGCAGUAUGGUGAUUCCUCAAAGAGCUAAAAGCAGAACUACCAGUUGACUCAACAAUUCUAUUACUGGAUAUAUACCCAGAGGAAUAUAAAUUGACCUUACGGUGUUUCUACCAUAAAGACACAUGCAUGUGAAUGUUCAUUGCAACACUAUUCACAAUUGCAAAGACAUGGAAUUAACCUAAAUGCCUAUCAAUGACAGAUUGGAUAAAGAAAAUGUGGCACUUAUACACCAUGAAAUACUAUGCAGCCAUAAAAAAGAACAAGAUGUCUGUGGACGGAACAUGGAUGGAGCUGACAAAACAAAAAAACAAAAAAAUUUUAGCAAACUAACACAGGAACAGAAAACCAAAUACCACAUGUUCUCACUUAUAGGUGGGAGCUAAAGGAUAAGAACUUAUAAACACAAAGAAGGAAACAACAGACACUGGAGUCUACUUGAGGGGGAGGGUGGGAGGAGAGAGGGGAACAGAAAAGCUAACUAUUUGGUACUGGGCUUAAUACCUGGAUGAUGAAAUAAUAAGUUCAACAAACCCCCGUGACACGUGUUUACCUGUGUAACAAACCAUAUGU